rnacentral:misc_RNA from 1 species
UGGUUCUGGCAUCGAUGAAGAACGCAGCGAAAUGCGAUAAGUAAUGUGAAUUGCAGAAUUCAGUGAAUCAUCGAAUCUUUGAACGCACAUUGCGCCCAUUAGCAUUCUAGUGGGCAUGCCUGUUCGAGCGUCAUUUCACCACUUAAGCCCUGUUGCUUAGCGUUGGGAGCCUACGGCCCAGCCCGUAGCUCCUUAAAGUGAUUGGCGGAGUUGGUUAUCACUCUAAGCGUAGUAACUAUAUCUCGCUUUUGUAGUGGUCCCGGCCCCUGCCGUAAAACCCCUUAUACAAAGGUUGACCUCGGAUCAGGUAGGAAUACCCGCUGA